rnacentral:rRNA from 1 species
UGGGGAAUCUUGGACAAUGGGGGCAACCCUGAUCCAGCCAUGCCGCGUGGGUGAUGAAGGCCUUAGGGUCGUAAAGCUCUUUUGGCGGGGAUGAUAAUGACCGUACCCGCAGAAUAAGCCACGGCUAAAUUCGUGCCAGCAGCCGCGGUAAUACGAAUGUGGCAAGCGUUGUUCGGAAUCACUGGGCGUAAAGAGUACGUAGGCGGCUUGACAAGUCAGGAGUGAAAUCCCCCGGGGNUCAACCUGGGAAUUGCUUUUGAAACUGUCUCGCUAGAAACUCGGAGAGGUUGGCGGAAAUUCCAAGUGUAGAGGUGAAAUUCGCAGAUAUUUGGAGGAACACCAGUGGCGUAAGCGGCCAACUGGACGAGUAUUGACGCUGAGGUACGAAAGCGUGGGGAUCAAACAGGAUUAGAUACCCUGGUAGUCCACGCCAUAAACGAUGUGUGCUAGUUGGUGGGUAGCUUAGCUAUUUCACUGACGCAGCUAAACGCAUUAAGCACACCGCCUGGGAAGUACGGCCGCAAGGUUAAAACUCAAAUGAAUUGACGGGGUCAUAGCUGUUUCCUG